rnacentral:lncRNA from 1 species
GCAUUAGUGAAUGUUCAUAAAAUUCAUACAAAAUAUACGGAAUCGAAUACACGCAUACGUUAACAACACUAGACACAAUGUUACUCUCAUGGAGAAAGUAGUGAGGUCUCAAAAUCAUUCUGGGCUACAGGGACCUGAGGUGCAUUAAGCACUAUGUUACUCUCAUGAUUCUUCUUGAAACUCCAUCAGUUGAAAAUGAUAAGGUUUGUGCUGGAAAAGAGAACAAUCUGCUUGUUUUUGGCUUCCCCAAAGUAUAGGACACAAGAUCAAACAUGCUCUGCUACGUUGCUCAUUCUCUACGCCUUAUUCACACGGAUUUUUUUACCUUCUAACAACUGCAGUUAACAGGUCAUCAAACAAAUUAGUCAGCAUUGUUGUAUUUAGAAGCAAACUAAUCACUCAUUAAACCACCAAAUUAUUUUCAAUUAAUAAAAUUUAAUCCCACUGAACAAUACAUCAUCAAACCAUGAGAGGAUAUUUAAGUAAUGUUAAAAAAAAUUUGGAGAUAGGAAACUUAUAUAGCAAGAUAUCAAUAUACAUCUAAGAAAGCUUGAGGAAAAUUACCGCAAUCAAGUAAGCAUGACCAAAAGAUACAGCGAGGGACGAGAUGUGCACUUCUAUUUUUACAAGGGAACUCGAUAAUGAAAAAUAAGUAAGCUAUUGUGCUUUUGCCAAUGCUAGAUAUUGGAAUAUACUAAUAUCUCAGAUUUUCAUUAAAUUGGACAUGAAGUUUGGAUAUCAUCAGAGAGCAGGGAAGUCAUUUUAGAGAAGUAGCUCUCCACUACCUAGCGGUGCCAAGAACUUGAAGAAUAUAAGAAUGUCUUAAUUUGCAAAUAAACAAGAAGCGCAGUUAACAACUUACAGCGUUGUUGAAAGAAGAGAUAGCAGUUUCUACAUCCUCAUCUGAUGAAAAUGUAACAAAACCAAAACCGCUGGAUUUUGAGGUCCCAGGAACCCGUGAAACCUUGGCACUGAGAGCUUUUCCUUUUUCAGAAAAGAAUUUUUUAAGGAUAUCAGAUGUUACAUUUUUAGCCAGAUUUCCCACAUAUACCUUGUAGGGACUGUCAACAAAUUGGGAUUCCUCAGCCUGAAGUGACAAACCUCCUGUUGUUGUUAAAGGUUUUUCGGUUAUAUUCACUUUAAUCUCACGCCCUCCAAUUUGCUGUCAUAAAAACGCGAAGUUCAUAAGUCCCUUAAGAAACCUAGAUCAUUUAAUGAACAUUAGUAUUCUUUUAAUGUAAUUUUGUAAACUCUGCAGUGAAACUUACAGUGCCAUUGAGUUUCUCAACUGCUGCGUUCGCAUCCUCAACGGUUUUCAUUGUAACAAAUGCAAAGCGACGGCUCCUUUUAGAGUAUUUAUCAUACAUGACCUAUGAAUAAAAAAAGCAUACAGAAAAUUUAGCAUGACUCUCAUUAUUUGUUUUAUAUAAAAUGAUAAAACAUAAAAUGAAAGUUGAAGUUGUUUAACUACUUUAGAAGAGUAUCCACAAUGCCCCUAUCAACUCAAAUCCCUAUGUUAUAAAUUCAAUAUUUAUUCUAUGCAAGUCACGUGUACUAAACUCUAAAUUCUUCCGUUUUCAUAUGAAUGCGACGAUUGCAAAUGAAAGAAAACAUGAUGCUAGCAAAAAUUGUUGCAUUUAGAUUUCUAUAAGGUACAUCGUGAAGACAUGAAUUGAACCACUCUGUUUCUGCUGUGAAACCCAGUGUCACUGCCGCACCAUUAACGUGCGACGUCACUGGCCCAAACGUGGCAGCAUCGGCACAAUUGUGGUGUAAAAUGCCGUUAUUGACCACAUUUUCAUUGAUAUUGUCUUGUAGACCAAAAGGAAAAAAACAACCAUAAACCUAAAACUGGCAAGCUUCUUGUACUUUCUACCAAAGCAAGAUUCUCCAUAAAAGUGGCAGCAGAACACACACAUCAUAUCCACCUAAAUAUAAAGAACCAACUCAAACCAGUCUCCCAUUUCUAAGCUGCUUUACAUGGCUACAUGAAUACAUGUACAAUAACAGUAUGGAAAAGAUUUCUAUAAAAUUUAUGGUGUAAAAUGUCCAAAUAAUAAUAUAACAUGAAAGGAUAUUAAAUUGUUCAGCAUGACAACAAAACUUCAAAAAAACUAAGUUUAUUUAAAUUAGAAAACAUACCAACUUCCUCAAUAAAAAAGCAAUAAAGAAAAGUUCUAGCCAAUGUUUUAAAAACGGUCCGUUACCGCGAAAAUGGCCGUAUAAAACGAUAUAGGAAGGUGCCGAUACUAAUACUGUUAUUCAUUGUUUUUAUGAUAAAGAACAAACUGUGUUUAAUUCACACCGCGACAACCGCAAUCAGUGUCGCAACACCUGUACCGACCGAAAUCACGAAGGCCUUACUCAACCGCAAUGCGCCCGUUAUUUAAAAACUUGGUUCUAGCACCAAAAUUGGAUAUAGAAUAUAAAAUAUGCUCCCCCUCCCCUCAAAGAAACCGUUAUUUAAGUGAACCCAGACACACACUUCAGUGUCAAACAUUCCAUAUUAUAUAAUAAGAAAACACCAUAUCUACAAUGCACUCCUCCUUCAAUAAAAUUAACCAUAAUCACAAUUAACCAAACUAAAUCCAUUGGUUCUUUCUCUUAAUUUUCAAUUUCAAAUUAGUCUUUCACCAUAAUUCAUAUAUCAAUGUUCAAAACUUUAAUAAUAUUUUCUUAAUUAGCUGGCUUCUUGCCUACUAAUGCAUCAUUUUGGAUCCUAAUUUGUUUCACAAUUGAUGAAUACAUUUACAUCUCUUCCAACCGUUUUUCUAUACAUAUUAACAUUCGUAAUCCUAAGUAAUUAAUUACACAUUCAAAACUACUUUUAAUACUUCUAAUUAUCAAAUAUCCCCAAACAAAUUCCAUUUCACAACACAACACAAACAUUUCACAAAAUUCCCCCAAACAUAAACCACUUCCAACAAACCUAAGUUCACAAACUUAAAUCCAAAACACACAAAAUCUGAACGAAAACUACCUCAGCCUUUUCAACAGCGCCAUGUUCUUGAACAAUCUGAGCAAGUUCAUCAUUAUCAACAGUGCGAGGAAUGUUACCAACGUAAAGCUUUCUAACCGCCGGAGAACUCGCCGUUGCUUGUUCAGAAACCGUUACGUAUCUCCUGAAACGGCGUGUGAGAGAAGAAGGUGCCGAUUGAAAGAACAAUGUCGUUUUGGGUUUCAAGUUAUUACAGUUUGGUGGUUGUGUUGUGAGGGAAAGGAAAUUGGGUUGUGAGAGAAGAGAAAGAGAAGACAUUGUUGCGGAUAGAUGGAGUUUGAUGAAGAUUUGAGGAAGUAAGUGUGAAGGGUGGUUUUGGUUUUUAGCUUGGAAAGUUUAGAGGUUUAUCUUGUUAUCUUGGUGGUGGU